rnacentral:rRNA from 1 species
AGGACGAACGCUGGCGGCGUGCUUAACACAUGCAAGUGGAGCGACGAACCAGGGCUUGCCCUGGGGCAGAGCCGCGAACGGGUGAGUAACACGUGGGUUACCUGCCUUGAUGACCGGGACAACCCGAGGAAACUCGGGCUAAUACCGGAUGUGCCCGCAAGGGGAAAGGAAGCUUCGGCCUCCGCAUCAAGAUGGGCCCGCGGCCCAUUAGCUUGUUGGUGAGGUAACGGCUCACCAAGGCUUCGAUGGGUAGCUGGUCUGAGAGGACGAUCAGCCACACUGGGACUGAGACACGGCCCAGACUCCUACGGGGGGCAGCAGUGAGGAAUUUUCGUCAAUGGGGGAAACCCUGAACGAGCAACGCCGCGUGCAGGAAGACACUUUUCGGAGCGUAAACUGCUUUUCUCGGGGACGAGUAAGGACGGUACCCGAGGAAUCAGCCCCGGCUAACUACGUGCCAGCAGCCGC